rnacentral:piRNA from 1 species
UAACAAAGACGCAGGUCCAGAGACAA